rnacentral:lncRNA from 1 species
UCUCAUCUUGUUUGUUUCAAAAAGGCACACAGGAUUCAACUUGGGUAUUCUCAAGGCUUCAUAAUGGAACUGUUGAUAUAUUUUUCAUCCCAGCAACAAACAGGGUUCAUCCAAAGAAAGAGUCCAAAGAUGCAGAGCCCCAUGAUGAAGAGUUCAGGAGUAAUUCUCUCAAAUACCUAGAAACCUGUUCCGACCGCUGAUUUAACUCCUUGUGCUCUUCAUUCUGGGGAAUGCCAGAAGGCUGAAUUGACCCUGUUUACUGAUUAAAAGCAAGUUUGGAAAAUUCAGUGACUGGAGUAUGGAUUGGACAGUUGACUUGCUAUCUCGUCUUCAUGAAGUGGG